rnacentral:sRNA from 1 species
GUUCCUAAGAACCUUUCUAAACAGAGUCCAUGGCAAUGGUCUACAGCAACUAAAGGGGUUGAUAUAUAAAUCCUUCUAUCAUGUGCACAUGAGAGCAGUGGUGUGGAGGCCAGCGGAGGAAGAAGGGGCCUGGAGCUGGAGUUACAAGUAGUUGUCAGCUACCUCACCGUGAUCCUGAGAGUCUAACUGAACCUCUAGAAGGACAUGAUGUUAGUAAGUAUCCUUAACGUCUGAGCUAUCUCUCUAGCAUCAGUAGUUAAUCUUAUGUAAGGAGGAAAAGAAAUCAUAGGGGUAAAUGGCAAAUAGCAAUGAUGAAAGAUUAUGUGACGAUAAAGCAAAUGCAGAUUGAAUAGCCAGUCAAACUGGCCAUUAACAAAACAUGUGAAUCAGGACAGCUAUUAGCCUACCCUCCCCACAUGAAGCUGAAAGGAAAGAAAACCUAAACCAAACCAAACACCACAAUGUUACAUAGUUACUAUGCAUGUGUUUUUGUUUCAGGGCUGGUGUCAGUUAAUACUACAAUAAUGCUCAAACUUCCCAUUCAAAACCAGAAAUGACCAGAAGCAUCAAACUAUCAAUAAAAGUGUACUCACAUUCAUAAAAUAAACAAAUAAAUAUUAAAAACCAAUUAAAACAUCCCCUAAUUAACAAGGCAUAGGACCAUAUACAUUACAUUGUUCCAUGUAUCAAUUCAAUAAUGUCCACACUCUAAUUUCCUAUCUCCAUGUUCUUUAGUGCUUCCUUUCAUUUGGGAUAGGUCCUUACUCUGUACCUUACUUCAAACUCAUGGGGAUCCUGCUUCAACCUCUGAAGUGCUGGGAUUACAGGCCUGAGCUACCACACCUAAUUUAACUAAUGCUUCUAACUGCUUUUCCUUUUCUCAAUUCCUC